rnacentral:rRNA from 1 species
UACGUAGGGUGCAAGCGUUAAUCGGAAUUACUGGGCGUAAAGCGUGCGCAGGCGGUUGUGUAAGACAGAUGUGAAAUCCCCGGGCUCAACCUGGGAACUGCAUUUGUGACUGCACAGCUGGAGUGCGGCAGAGGGGGAUGGAAUUCCGCGUGUAGCAGUGAAAUGCGUAGAUAUCAGGAGGAAUACCGAUGGCGAAGGCAGGUCUCUGGGCUGACACUGACGCUCAUGCACGAAAGCGUGGGGAGCAAACAGG